GUGGCAGGGUGCCUUAGGUCGAGGUUGCCGGCGUCUGGGCUUGUCCUGGCUGUGUGAUUACUACCAGGAUUUUGCUGGUUUUUGAAAGUGCUGGAAAUCCUCAUAGCACCUCCUCCUCCCGCGGGGUUCUGGAACAGAAGGUGCUAGCACAGUUUGCCUGUCUCCUUGCCUACCUGGUUUACAGAAUCCUGCCUUCAGCAGGGCUUCCAUCCCGCCACCCGUGUCUCAUGGACGGGCAGAGAGGCAGGAUCCCAGGUGUGAACUUGGACGCAGAGCAGAAUAACUCAGACAUCCUCUGUGCCUCUCCUUGACACGACCCAGAGUCCUGGGAAAGCAGUGGAAGAUGGUCCAAGUGCUUGGACCCCUGCCUCCUUCGUGGGAGACCAGGAUGGAGUUCCAGGCUCCUGACUUUGGCCUGGCCCAGCCCCAGGGGCCAUUUGGGGGAUGAAUCAGCAGGUGGAAGAUCUCUUUUUUUCCUCUCUGUGUCUUUCCCUCUCUUUGUUACUCUGCCUUUCGAAU